UACGAAGGGGGCUAGCGUUGUUCGGAAUCACUGGGCGUAAAGCGCACGUAGGCGGACUUUCAAGUCAGGGGUGAAAUCCCGGGGCUCAACCUCGGAACUGCCUUUGAUACUGUUGGUCUUGAGUCCGGAAGAGGUGGGUGGAAUUCCUAGUGUAGAGGUGAAAUUCGUAGAUAUUAGGAAGAACACCGGUGGCGAAGGCGGCCCACUGGUCGGGUACUGACGCUGAGGUGCGAAAGCGUGGGGAGCGAACAGG
rnacentral:rRNA from 1 species